UUAUUUUCAAAAGAUUGGAUGAUGAUCAUCUUGUUGAUAAGGCAAGAUUAAAUGAUUUUCAUUUUUAAAAGUUAAAUGUUUGAAAAUCGAAGAUGAACUCGCUUAUUGGAUAGAUUCAUUCCGAUCCUUAGCGUGUGGGUCAUCUACCAAAGAAGAAGUUGUAACCCAUUCAGACAUUUGAAGACUACAGAGCAAAUAUUGUGAUAUGUUUCUUUGUUAUUUGUGCUUGUUAUAACAGAGUAGACUUCAAGUCUUUAUCGUUCUUUGUCUCUAUUGUACAAGCAAAGUUUCUUCACAUAUUUGAUCUCUUCGGGAGAGGAGACCAUUUGUUGUAGUGGAGGGAUUCUACACAGAGGCAGCAAGCAGUUCGGUGUGGUGAAGUGAUUUCACAGAAACACAGCAAACAAAAAGACUAAUGGUGCUGGCUGAAUAUUCAUUAGGAUGGUUACAAUAAGAUGGCAGCAAGACAGUAAAGAGGGAGUUUGAACAUUGGAUAAGUAUCCAAUAGGUAGUAUUCAUAGAUCUCUUUAUGAAUUAUUCAAAUUAUAGGCGUGACCCUGCGAAAAUAGGAUUUUGAACUCAAAACCACGUAAAAUCCUUUUGUUUUCUUUAUUUUCCGCACUUUUAAUAUCCUUGUUAUAACUACUGAAUUAAUAUUUAAUUAAGGUUGAUAAAACUAUGAAAUCUGAUCUUUCAAAUAUCUUGAAAUUAAAUUAUUUUGGAUUAAAAAUUAAAUUUAGGUAGACAAAUUCAUAGUCAUAAAACUUAAGUAGAACUAUACAAACAUUACACAAAUUUAUUAUUUUCAGUGAUCACAAGAUAUUGACAUGUUUUAGAGACUUUUCUAAUUUGCCAAUCUAAUCUUUAAUGUUACAUAUUACAUCGCAUUCAAACGUUGGCAAACCAAUGAUAAAAACUUUUGGUAUCUGGCUAGUACUGAUUGGUUGAUGACAUAAUUAUUACAGCAUGUGAUCUUAAGGAAGGUGGUUCAGCAAUCUUUUUCCUGUAAUUAAAACCUUUAUUAUGAUAUUUGAGAGAGAAGAUGAUCAAAUUAGUAUAUGCUUUUAUUCCAUUAGAGACUCAAUCACAUUCAUUAUAAAGUGAUGCUAUGUUUACUUAGUUAAAAAGUAAUGCAUAGUUUAUCUCCCAAUUAAUGUGUCGCUAAUGUAAAUUUAUUAUUUGAAUUAAAAAUGACAGGACUUAGUAAUUAUGUAUCGGUUGAAUUAAUUAGAUAAUGACAUAUCAUUUAUCACAUUAGUUAGAAUAUAAAUUAAGUAUCGUAACUAAGUAAAUAUAACAUUAUUAUAAUGAAUCUUGGGUGUUCUCUUUAUAUAAUUAUAGCACACUUAGGCCUUGCUCAACUUCACAUGCAUGCACUAAAGUCAAAGGGUUAGUAUUCUUGCCAUUAAGUUGGAACAGGACUGAAAUUAAGAUGAUUUUAUGUUACUUUUCAAAUGAAUUCAAGAUCAUUUCACUUGGAGCUAAAUGUUAUUUUUUUUUUUUAAAAAAAAAGGCAGUUGUUCCACUAGUUUAAAGGUGUGGGACAUUCUGUUGUUGAACUUUACACUAAAAAGCCUGCUUGGCACAUAUUUGUUAUAAUUAACAGAGUGGACUUUCAAGUCUUUAUUGUUCCAUGUCUAUUUUGCAGGAAAAGCAUCUUAACAUAUUUGAUCUCUUUGUGAGAGGCGUUCAUUUGUGGUAGUGGGAGGAUUGUACAUGGAGGCAGCAAGCAGUUUGGCGUGGUGAAUAGAUUUCACAAAAGCACAGCAACCAAGAAAACAUAUGCUGCUGGCUGAAUAUUCAUUAGGAUGGUUACAGAAAGGUGGCGGCAAGAUAGUAAGAAAGAGUCCGAACAUGGCAUAAAGUAUCCAAUAGAUUGUAUCCACAGAUCUCCGAAUGAAUUAUUCAAAUUACAGGCGUGGUCCUGUGGGUGUUGGAAUUUAAGGUUCAAACCACAUAAAAGCCUUUUGUUUUAAUAUCGUUGUUACAACUAUUUAAUUAAAAUUAAUAAAACUAUCAAAUCCGU
rnacentral:lncRNA from 1 species